AUGGCUAAUGCCUGCACAGACCUCACUGAUGCCGUGCGCUCUGUGCAGCAGCUCAAGAUCAAUGGCUUUUGCGCCACGUCGGCCAUGUCUACCGACUAUUCCAUCAAAUCCAGAUGGAACGUCGAUGGCUAUGAGUGGGAAAUCCGUAUUUAUCCAGCAUCGGGAACGUUCUCGGUGGCAGUAGAGCUUGCCUUUCUCAGCGAACCCCGUACGCCCGUUGUGAGGGCAAAUCUAAGCUGUCGACUGGUUGAUCCGAGAGGCGUUGCUGAACCAUCUGAAAGAACGACUAACUCAGGAGCAUUCUGGCGCCCCAAAGGUCGCUUCUCUACAGUUUUUGUUAAUCUUGGGCAGAGACGUGAUCUAGUGGCAUCGAGUUACCUCAAGGAUGAUACUCUGAUUGUGGAAUGCACAAUAACGGUGCUCAAGGAACUACCAGCGCCAACCAUCUCAGUUAAACCAGGGCCGUACAUGCCACCGUCCAACUUGCACGAGCACUUUGGUGAACUUCUACGAAGCAGAGCCGGUUCCGAUGUUGAAUUUCUCGUGUCCGGCGAGUCGUUCGCCGCGCACAAGCUCGUGCUGUCGGCGAGGUCCCCGGUUUUCAUGGCCAAGUUCUUCGGGAACAUGAAGGAGGCGUGCUCGCGGAGCGUGGAGAUCAAGGACAUGGAGUCGGACGUUUUCAGGGCGCUGCUUGGAUUUAUCUACACCGACGCCGUGCCUGAACUUGAUCAGGAGCUGGAGGCCGUGCCAACGAUGGCUCAGCAUCUACUUGCAGCAGCUGACAGGUACGGGCUGGACAGGCUCAAGGUGAUCUGCGCGGGCAAGCUCUCUGGCGGCAUCACGGUCGACACGGCAGCGACGACUUUGGCUUUGGCUGAGCAGCUCAAUUGCUCGCACCUCAAGGCCAAGUGCGUCGAGUUCAUUACCAGCACUCCUGCUAUCCUUGACGCUGUGGUGGCAUCGGAGGGGUAUAAGCAUCUGGAGGAGAGUUGCCCUUCAGCCCUUACUAGCAUUGUCAUCUCCAUGCGUGCCACAUGGAACUGA
rnacentral:rRNA from 1 species